rnacentral:lncRNA from 1 species
AAGAGGAAGAGGAGGAGGGAGGAGGAGAAAGGGGGAGGAAGAAAAGGAGGAAGAGGAGAAAGGAGGAGGAAGAAAAGGAGAAAAUGAGGAAGAGAAGGAAAAGAAGAAAAGAAGGGGGAGGAAGAGGAGAAGGAGGAAGAGGAAGAGAGGAAGAGAAGCAAGCUGCUCAAGCCACCACAGCUGAAUUUAGGACAUCUUGGGACCAAAGAGCAUGAGUCAAGAUGUUUGAUGCUGCCAGGGUUGUAAGAAAGGACACAGAUUUGUGGAGGACUGGGAGCAGUAGUAUUCAGAACCAAAAAUAUGUCUCUUUGUGAAAAGGAAAUCAUAACUGGAAUUGUCUGAUAUUUAAAAAAUUCAGGACCUCAGUAUUCAAUGGAGGCUUUGUCCUUCACAGGGGGCAGUUGAGAGGUGACCUUGGUGGCUACCAUGGUCAGAGACCACACAGGCAUUGUGGGUAGGUGGGCUCCAGUUUUCCUUAAUGAGUCGCGAACGCUGUGCGUUCGUCAGAACGAAGUCUACAAGUCAAUGGUUUUUUUCUUUUUAUAUAAUAAUUAUAUAACUUAUGCAUUUAUACACUACGAGUUGACCUCGGCCAGCCAAAGACACCACACACACACACACACACACACACACACACACACACACACACACAAAAGAGACAAUCAAACAUAUGAUGUGGCCUUGAAUUUUAACUCUGUAAUGCUUAAUGUUUACAAUAUGAAGUUACUAGUUCUUAGAAUGCAGAAUGUAUGUUAAUAAAAAUGAGCUUGGCCUCUCAUGGCGAACCAGAA